rnacentral:ncRNA from 1 species
GCAUGCUCCCGCAUCGUGGUCUCUGUCCGAAGGCACGACCCUGGCGUACUUCCCCAACGCCAGGGUCGUGCCUUCGGACAGAGACCACGAUGCGGGGAUAUUUGCGUUCU